UGAAUACGAGACGCUAAGGCGUCGAAGUAGUGUAUGUCAUACUUCCAAGAAAAGCUUGCACUGUCAUAGAUAAAAAAUGCCUGUACCAUAAUCGACACAGGUGGGUAGGUAGAGUAUACUAAGGGGCGCGAGAUAACUCUCUCUAAGGAACUCGGCAAAAUAACUCCGUAACUUCGGGAGAAGGAGUGCCUUAUUCGUAAGGUUGCAAUAACAAGAUCCAAGCAACUGUUUAUCAAAAACACAGGUCUCCGCUAAGUCGUAAGACGAUGUAUGGGGGCUGACGCCUGCCCAGUGCCAGAAGGUUAAAGAAGUUGGUUAGCAAUUGCGAAGCUGAUAACUGAAGCCCUGGUGAACGGCGGCCGUAACAAUAACGGUCCUAAGGUAGCGAAAUUCCUUGUCGGGUAAGUUCCGACCCGCACGAAAGGCGUAAUGAUUUGGAUACUGUCUCGGAGAGGGGCUCGGUGAAAUAGACUUGUCUGUGAAGAUGCGGACUACCUGCACCAGGACAGAAAGACCCUAUGAAGCUUUACUGUAACUUGAAAUUGAAAUUGGACUUUAUUCGCGCAGUAUAGGUGGGAGGCGUUGAUUAUAAUCUUGUGGGAUUAUUGGAGCCAUCAGUGAGAUACCACUCUUGUAAUGUUAGAUUUCUAACUUUGAAUCAUUAUCUGGUCAAAGAACAGUUUCAGGCGGGCAGUUUGACUGGGGCGGUCGCCUCCUAAACGGUAACGGAGGCGUACAAAGGUUUCCUCUGAACGGUUAGAAAUCGUAUCUAGAGUGUAAAGGCAUAAGGAAGCUUGACUGUGAGACCUACAAGUCGAGCAGGGACGAAAGUCGGUCUUAGUGUUCUGACGGUACUGAGUGGAAAGGCCGUCACUCAACGGAUAAAAGUUACUCUAAGGAUAACAGGCUGAUCUCCCCCAAGAGUUCACAUCGACGGGGAGGUUUGGCACCUCGAUGUCGGCUCAUCGCAUCCUGGGGCGGUAGUACGUCCCAAGGGUUGGGCUGUUCGCCCAUGAAAGCGGUACGCGAGCUGGGUUCAGAACGUCGUGAGACAGUUCGGUCCAUAUCCGGUGUAGGCGUUAGAAUAUUGAGAGGAGCCUUCUUUAGUACGAGAGGACCGAGAAGGACAUACCUCUGGUGUACCAGUUAUCGUGCCAACGGUAAACGCUGGGUAGCUAUGUAUGGAGUGGAUAACCGCUGAAAGCAUCUAAGUGGGAAGCCCACCUCAAGAUAAGUAUUCUCAUCA
rnacentral:rRNA from 1 species